rnacentral:sRNA from 1 species
UAAGGUAUUUUAUUGUUACCCAUGAUCCAGUGCCUGUGAGGAUCAGCUUUAAGCGGCGAAAACAAAACUCCCGUAGCCUGCAAGGGAGCGCAUUACCCUGCGGUACAUCUGCACACUUUUGGAAGCAGAUGUCGUCGGAUAGCAACC